rnacentral:rRNA from 1 species
AUUGAACGCUGGCGGCAGGCCUAACACAUGCAAGUCGAACGAGUGGCGGACGGGUGAGAAAUGUCUGGGAAACUGCCCGAUGGAGGGGGAUAACUACUGGAAACGGUAGAUCAUACCGCACACCAUCGGAUGUGCCCAGAGGGGAUUAGCUAGUAGGUGGGGUAACGACGCACGAAGGCGACGAUCCCUAGCUGGUCUGAGAGGAUGACCAGCCACACUGGAACUGAGACACGGUCCAGACUCCUACGGGAGGCAGCAGUGGGGAAUAUUGCACAAUGGGCGCAAGCCUGAUGCAGCCAUGCCGCGUGUAUGAAGAAGGCCUUCGGGUUGUAAAGUACUUUCAGCGAGGAGGCGUUACUCGCAGAAGAAGCACCGGCUAACUCCGUGCCAGCAGCCGCGGUAAUAC